CACGUAUUUAGCCGUCGCUUCUUCUGCAGGUACCGUCAUUUUUCUUCCCUGCUGAAAGCACUUUACAAUCCGAAAACCUUCAUCGUGCACACAGAAUUGCUGGAUCAGGGUUGCCCCCAUUGUCCAAUAUUCCCCACUGCUGCCUCCCGUAGGAGUAAGGGCCGUAUCUCAGUCCCCUUGUGGCCGUCCACCCUCUCAGGCCGGCUACCUAUCAUCGCCUUGGUGAGCCGUUACCCCACCAACAAGCUAAUAGGACGCAAGGCUCUCCUGCAGCAUCUCUUUCAUCAGGCUGGACAUGAGUCCGCCUGACUUUACCAGGUCUUAUCAGUCGUUUCCGUCUGUUAUCCCUGACUGCAGGGCAAGUUCCUUACGCGUUACUCACCCGUCCGCCUUGGCUAGGCUGUGCAAGCACAGCUUCGCCAAAGACUUGCAUGUGUUAAGCAUUCUGUCAGCGUUCAUCCUGAGCCAGGAUCAAACUCU
rnacentral:rRNA from 1 species